UACGAAGGGGGCUAGCGUUGCUCGGAAUCACUGGGCGUAAAGGGCGCGUAGGCGGCCAUUCAAGUCGGGGGUGAAAGCCUGUGGCUCAACCACAGAAUUGCCUCCGAUACUGUUUGGCUUGAGUAUGGUAGAGGUUGGUGGAACUGCGAGUGUAGAGGUGAAAUUCGUAGAUAUUCGCAAGAACACCGGUGGCGAAGGCGGCAUCCUGGACCGGCAUUGACGCUGAGGCGCGAAAGCCAGGGGAGCAAACGGG
rnacentral:rRNA from 1 species